rnacentral:rRNA from 1 species
UGCGUAGGCGGUUUAUUAAGUCAGUGGUGAAAGCCUACAGCUCAACUGUAGAACUGCCAUUGAUACUGUAGAUCUUGAAUUCGGUCGAAGUGGGCGGAAUAUGACAUGUAGCGGUGAAAUGCUUAGAUAUGUCAUAGAACACCGAUAGCGAAGGCAGCUCACUAGGCCUGGAUUGACGCUCAGGGACGAAAGCGUGGGGAGCAAACAGGAUUAGAUACCCGCGUA